rnacentral:tRNA from 1 species
GGAGAGGUGCCGGAGUGGUCGAACGGGGCGGUCUCGAAAACCGUUGUGGGGGUGACUCCACCGUGGGUUCGAAUCCCACCCUCUCCGCCA